GGAAGUAAAAGCCGUAACAAGGUUUCCGUAGGUGAACCUGCGGAAGGAUCAUUCAUAAUAAAGUGUUUUAUGGCACUUUUUAAAAAUCCAUAUCCACCUUGUGUGCAAUGUUAGAUCUCGUCAAUCUUGGCGAGAUUUUUAUACAUCAACUCAUUUUUUAACUAAUUUGUCUGAAAAAUAUUAUGAAUACUUAAUUCAAAAUACAACUUUCAACAACGGAUCUCUUGGCUCUC
rnacentral:misc_RNA from 1 species